UGAGCCUUAUACAGUGCGAUGCUUCAUGAUU
rnacentral:piRNA from 1 species